AUGGGCGUUGCUUGGUACAGUAUAAAUAUGUAAAGACAGAAAGUAAAAAGAAAGGUUACCUCCUUGUUCAGGUUUGGAUACAACUUUGGAUGUUUGAUCAUCCCUGUGCAGAAUGAGAGAGCAAUAAGUUAUGGGUACGACUGGCUGAGGAGACCCUGAGACAUCCUCAGUCACCCUGCCGGAGGAGAUGGAGGAAGCUGUUGAAGUAAAAGGACUUUUGGGAUGUUUACGGUUCAGAACUAGUGUUUUUGGUGAUGAGUUGGAGAAUCCUGAUCAUAAUCUUACAUUCCUGUGCCUCUGUGGCAUCUUUUAUGAAAGUGACCACCGAUCUAAACAACGGUCUCAUGGAAAUAAUGGUGGACAUUGGCAACAUAUCCGACAAGUCCGAACCCAAAUGUGAUUGCAUUUUCCAUUCCGAUACCAACAAGGUUCUUCUGAGCACACGUUUCAGUGACCAAGAAGAUCAGCAGUUUGAGGGGCGAGUUACUUAUAACAUAAGCGAAGACAUAAUGAAGAUUAUGCUGUCAGAUUUCCGUAAUGAUGAUGUGGGAAACUACACAUGCAAAUAUUUUGAUAAAAGAGAUGAAAUCCUAGACUCUGGAUGUUUUACCUUGGAGUGGCCCCUCCCCACACCAACAUCUGGACCUGCAGCUGCUGAAGGUACAACACAGCCACCAGUGGGCCCAAAUGGAUAUCUAACAUCUAUAGCAGUAGUAGUUGCAAUAGCGUUAGGGGUAGUAGGAGUACCAGUUGUUGUAGUAGUAGUAGUAGUAGUAGUAAACAAAACAAAUCAACAAUGAAAAAAGAUCAAGUCCAGACUGAUGGUACUGAGCUGUACCAAUCUAGACUCGUCUGCUCCACAACUCAGUACACGGACUGAUGCUGCUCAAAGAAGAAUCUCACCUCUCUUCUCAUCGCAUUCCCACUGCAGUGUUGGCUUUGAAGUGGCUGGCAGCUGGACCUCUGUUUUCAGAAAACCAGUUUUGAGUAACCCAAUGUACACUGCCUACAUAACACAUGACAGACCAUUAUAGUCAGUGGCUAGCUGCUGAAGAAAGUCAAGAAUCUAAUGAGACGCACUCAUGCCAUCCUAGAUGUAAGUACACCCUCUCAAUUUAGCAGAUUGCAACUCACUCGCUUCACCCUCCCUUUAAAAAGGGUGAGGGAGAAACUACGGUGGCCGUGAGAAACCUCAAUAUAAAGCCAGCGUUUGUGUCUGUUUUCUGUGCCGUCUGUAGUUAAAAAAUUUUGCAUUCUAAGGAAAUGACAACACAACAAUUCCUGUAUUCAGGUGAUUAUACUCUAACGAAAACAUACCUAUGAAUAUUAUAUCGCAUUUGUGCCAUUAGAUCCUCCUAAAUGUUACACACUGGACUUUUUAGCAAUGUUUGCAUUUUUCAAUGAAGUUUUAAUGGGAAGCUUGUGAUGCUCCCCAAUGUAACUCUGUAUGUCAGUAUACGUUCUAAUGUGAAAACAGAAUAUUUGCUUUUUUUAUAUUAAUAGUCAAUAAUGUGUGUGUAACAUUUUUAAAUGUUACUGUGGCUUUGUUGACCAGUACUUGAAUGUGUGGGAUCACCUCACUGGUAUGAAGUUUUUACAUUUGUAUUCAGUUUGUUAAUACUGUUAAUACCUCAGAUAUUAUUGGCUGAUGGAAUAUUUCCUGCAGUUAAAGAACAAAUUACAACGGUUAACAGAUUGUUUGUUCAGACAUGCAAUCUAGAAGGAACAUAAAGUGAACUCCCACUUUUGCAAUAAAUAAAAUGUGUAUAUUUUUACAAUCUCGAAUAAUUGUCACUUGUCAUUAAUGUCGUUUGAAUUGAUGUAUUGAUUGAUUUUUAAAGCUUUCUAUUGUUGUUUAUCCGGUUCAUUAAAUAUAUUUAUAAAAA